UACGGAGGGUGCGAGCGUUGUCCGGAAUCACUGGGCGUAAAGGGCGCGUAGGCGGCGCGGAAAGUCGUCGGUGAAAGCUCAGGGCUCAACUCUGAGUCUGCCGGUGAUACUCCCGCGCUCGAGCUCACUAGAGGCAGAUGGAAUUCCGGGUGUAGCGGUGGAAUGCGUAGAGAUCCGGAAGAACACCGGUGGCGAAGGCGGUCUGCUGGGGUGAGGCUGACGCUGAUGCGCGACAGCGUGGGGAGCAAAC
rnacentral:rRNA from 1 species